CCCGCUCAGAAACUUAAAUGAAUUGACGGGGGCCCGCACAAGGCGGUGGAGCAUGUGGUUUAAUUCGAAGCAACGCGAAGAACCUUACCAGGCCUUGACAUGCAGAGAACUUUCCAGAGAUGGAUUGGUGCCUUCGGGAACUCUGACACAGGUGCUGCAUGGCUGUCGUCAGCUCGUGUCGUGAGAUGUUGGGUUAAGUCCCGUAACGAGCGCAACCCUUGUCCUUAGUUACCAGCACGUUAUGGUGGGCACUCUAAGGAGACUGCCGGUGACAAACCGGAGGAAGGUGGGGAUGACGUCAAAUCAUCAUGCCCCUUAUGAUCUGGGCUACACACGUGCUACAAUGGCCGGUACAACGGGCAGCGAAGGAGCGAUCCGGAGCGAAUCCUAAAAAGCCGGUCCCAGUUCGGAUUGCAGGCUGAAACUCGCCUACAUGAAGUUGGAGUUGCUAGUAAUCGCGAAUCAGAAUGUCGCGGUGAAUGCGUUCCCGGGUCUU
rnacentral:rRNA from 1 species